CUCGACUAUAUUUUUGGUUUUAAAAAAAAAAAAAAGGGGGGGGGGGGAAACCCUGUUGAGUUUGUGUUUGUUUCCUGCUUUACAUUAUUGCCUACACACUAUUUCAAAGAAACACAGUUAGUCUGACUUGCCUUCAACCAGACAUUUCUCAUAAAAAUGGCUGGUUUAUGUUUGGGUUUUUAUGACUGAUGUGAAGAACAGAUGUGCUGAAUAAAUAAAUAAGGUUUUCAUA